rnacentral:rRNA from 1 species
GAACUAGCAUAUCAAUAAGCGGAGGAAAAGAAACCAACAGGGAUUGCCCUAGUAACGGCGAGUGAAGCGGCAACAGCUCAAAUUUGAAAUCUGGCGUAAGCCCGAGUUGUAAUUUGUAGAGGAUGCUUCUGGGUAGCGGCCGGUCUAAGUUCCUUGGAACAGGACGUCAUAGAGGGUGAGAAUCCCGUAUGUGACUGGCUUGCACCCUCCACGUAGCUCCUUCGACGAGUCGAGUUGUUUGGGAAUGCAGCUCUAAAUGGGAGGUAAAUUUCUUCUAAAGCUAAAUACCGGCCAGAGACCGAUAGCGCACAAGUAGAGUGAUCGAAAGAUGAAAAGCACUUUGGAAAGAGAGUUAAAAAGCACGUGAAAUUGUUGAAAGGGAAGCGCCCGCAACCAGACUUUGCGGCGGUGUUCGGCUGGUCUUCUGACCGGUUUACUCGCCGCCGUGAGGCCAUCAUCGUCUGGGACCGCUGGAUAAGACCUGAGGAAUGUAGCUCCCUUCGGGGUGUGUUAUAGCCUCUAGUGAUGCAGCGCGUCUCGGGCGAGGUCCGCGCUUCGGCAAGGAUGAUGGCGUAAUGGUUGUCGGCGGCCCGUCUUGAAACACGGACCAAGGAGUCUAACAUCUAUGCGAGUGUUCGGGUGUCAAACCCCUACGCGUAAUGAAAGUGAACGGAGGUGGGAACUUUUUGUGCACCAUCGACCGAUCCUGAUGUCCUCGGAUGGAUUUGAGUAAGAGCAUAGCUGUUGGGACCCGAAAGAUGGUGAACUAUGCCUGAAUAGGGUGAAGCCAGAGGAAACUCUGGUGGAGGCUCGCAGCGGUUCUGACGUGCAAAUCGAUCGUCAAAUUUGGGUAUAGGGGCAGACUAAUCG